GGAUAUCCCAGAGAUUAGACCUUGAGACAUAUGGGGUCCAAAAGCUCUGGAGACUAAAGAGGAGUGCAGUGGUCAGGGGACUCCUAGGGGUACUCAAUCAGGGCUCUCUUUAAUCAAUCGCUGCCUAAUGCUUCAGAGGGUUCUGACACCUUCACUCCACAAUGAAACAAAUUAUAAUGUCCCAUAAGCUGUCACCUCCAGAGCACAGUCUGGUUAAGGUAUGUAAUUUUGAAUACAUAGAAGAUGUCAGAUACAGCUGCUGAUGCAGUGUCUGAGAUCCAUAAGAGGUCACUGGAUCCUUCUCUCUGUUUGGGUGCAUGAAUGUAUGGUGGUCAGCCAUGGAUGUUUUUAGUGUGUGUGUGUGUGUGUGUGUGUGUGUGUGUUUCUGUCAGUUUUGUUUUCCUGUAUUGACCUUGUUUUCCUGCUUUCUCUUGUGUAUGACCUUACUCCCAUCCAGCUUAAGACAUGUGUCCUCUUCUUUUAGGGACCAAAAUUCUUUUGGCUCUGCCAGGGCACCCUGAGAAACUGCAAAAUCCUCCACCUGUCCCAAUCCAGGAGAAGGAACCCUACCUAUUUUGUUGCUUGACUGCUGGUCAGGGUCUGGGUUGGUCUGUGUAUGGAAUGUACUGGGUGAGGGAAGUUGUUCCCCACUUCUGAGCAUUCCCUGAGCUCCAAUCCAUGCCUGUCUAAGCAGCUCCAGGCAGGAGAAAAGUUCAAAGGAAAUAAAAAAGUUCUAUUCCGUUCUCUUUCUUGAUUCAUACCUUUUUUUUUUAAGAUCAUAUUAUUCUUAUUUUUUCAAAAAAAAUUUUUAUUAGAUAUUUUCUUCAUUUACAUUUCAAAUGCUAUCUAUCCUGAAAGUCCCCUAUACCCUCCCCCUACCCUGCUAUCCAACUCACCCACGUCCACUUCCUUGCCCUGGCAUUCCCCUGUACUGGGGCAUAUAAUCUUCGCAAGAGCAAGGGCCUCUCUUCCCAUUGAUGGCUGACUAGGCCAUUGUCUGCUACAUAUGCAGCUAGAGACACAGCUCUGGGGGUACUGGUUAGUUCAUAUUGUUGUUCCUCCUAUAGGGUUGCAGACCCCUUCAGCCCUUUGCCUGCUUUCUCUAGCAACUCCAUUGGGGGCACUGUGUUCCAUCCUAUAGAUGACUGUGAGCAUCCACUUCUGUAUUUGCCCUCCACUGACAUAGCCUCACAGGAGACAGCUAUAUCAGGGUCCUGUCAGCAAAAUCUUGCUGGCAUAUGCAAUAGUGUCUGGGCUUGGUGGCAGUUUAUGGGAUAGAUCCCUGGGUGGAGCAGCCUCUGGAUAGUCCAUCCUUUCGUCUUAGCUCCAAACUUUGUCUCUGUAACUCCUUU
rnacentral:lncRNA from 1 species